rnacentral:rRNA from 1 species
UACGGAGGGUGCGAGCGUUAUCCGGAAUUACUGGGUUUAAAGGGUGCGUAGGCGGCUUGGUAAGUCAGGAGUGAAAGUUUGCAGCUCAACUGUAAAAUUGCUUUUGAUACUGCCGAGCUGGAAUCAGGAUGAGGUCAGCGGAAUGUGGCAUGUAGCGGUGAAAUGCAUAGAUAUGCCAUAGAACACCAAUUGCGAAGGCAGCUGGCUAGACCUGUAUUGACGCUGAGGCACGAAAGCGUGGGGAGCGAACAGG